UACAGAGGUCUCAAGCGUUGUUCGGAAUUACUGGGCGUAAAGGGCUCGUAGGCGGCCAACUAAGUCAGACGUGAAAUCCCUCGGCUUAACCGGGGAACUGCGUCUGAUACUGGAUGGCUUGAGAUUGGGAGAGGGAUGCGGAAUUCCAGGUGUAGCGGUGAAAUGCGUAGAUAUCUGGAGGAACACCGGUGGCGAAGGCGACAUCCUGGACCAACACUGACGCUGAGGAGCGAAAGCCAGGGGAGCAAACGGG
rnacentral:rRNA from 1 species